rnacentral:rRNA from 1 species
UAUUGCACAAUGGGCGCAAGCCUGAUGCAGCGACGCCGCGUCGGGGAUGAAGGCCCUCGGGUUGUAAACUCCUUUCGCUAUCGACGAAGCCACUUUGUGGUGACGGUAGGUAGGUAAGAAGCACCGGCUAACUACGUGCCAGCAGCCGCGGUAAUACGUAGGGUGCAGGCGUUGUCCGGAAUUACUGGGCGUAAAGAGCUCGUAGGUGGUUUGGCGCGUCGUCUGUGAAAUCCCGGGGCUUAACUUCGGGCGUGCAGGCGAUACGGGCAUAACUUGAGUGCUGUAGGGGAGACUGGAAUUCCUGGUGUAGCGGUGAAAUGCGCAGAUAUCAGGAGGAACACCGAUGGCGAAGGCAGGUCUCUGGGCAGUAACUGACGCUGAGGAGCGAAAGCAUGGGUAGCGAACAGG